rnacentral:rRNA from 1 species
GAUAAACGCUGGCGGCGUGCAUGAGACAUGCAAGUCGAACGAAGGAUCGGGCUUGCUCGAUCCUUAGUGGCGGACGGCUGAGUAACGCGUAGGUGACCUACCCCGAAGUGGGGAAUAACUGCCCGAAAGGGUGGCUAAUACCGCAUGUGGUCGCACGUUCAUUCGUGCGAGUAAAGCCGCAAGGCGCUUCGGGAGGGGCCUGCGUCCGAUUAGCUCGUUGGUGGGGUAAUGGCUUACCAAGGCGACGAUCGGUAGGUGGUCUGAGAGGACGAUCACCCAGACUGGGACUGGGCCACGGCCCAGACUCCUACGGGAGGCAGCAGACGGGAAUUUUGCUCAAUGGGGGAAACCCUGAAGCAGCAACGCCGCGUGAGGGAUGAAGGCCUUCGGGUUGUAAACCUCUUUUGUCAGGGACGAUGAUGACGGUACCUGGCGAAUAAGCCACGGCUAACUACGUG